AGAGUUUGAUCCUGGCUCAGGACGAACGCUGGCGGCGCGCUUAAUGCAUGCAAGUCGAACGGUGAACCCGACUUCGGUCGGUGGAUCAGUGGCAGACGGCUGAGUAACACGUAAGUAACCAACCCUUGGGUGGGGAAUAACAUUGGGAAACCAAUGCUAAUACCGCAUAGUCUUUGAAAUCAAAUGGUUUCAAUGUAAAGGCUUCGGUCGCCCGAGGACGGGCUUGCGGCUUAUCAGGUUGUUGGUGGGGUAAUGGCCUACCAAGCCUACGACGGGUAACUGGUCUGAGAGGACGAUCAGUCAGAGGGGGACUGCGACACGGCCCCCACUCCUACGGGAGGCAGCAGCAGGGAAUCUUGCGCAAUGGACGAAAGUCUGACGCAGCGACGCCGCGUGAAGGAAGAAGGCUCUAGGGUUGUAAACUUCUUUUCUGAGGGAAGAGUAAGGACGGUACCUCAGGAAUAAGCCUCGGCUAACUACGUGCCAGCAGCCGCGGUAAUACGUAGGAGGCAAGCGUUGUCCGGAUUUAUUGGGCGUAAAGGGCGUGCAGGUGGCAUAGAAAGUUUUUGUUGAAAUCUCCCGGCUUAACUGGGAGGGGUGCAAGAAUACUUCUAAGCUAGAGGGCAGUAGAGGAAAGUGGAAUUCAUGGUGUAGUGGUGAAAUGCGUAGAUAUCAUGAGGAACACCAGUGGCGAAAGCGGCUUUCUGGGCUGCACCUGACACUGAGGCGCGAAAGCAUGGGUAGCAAACCGGAUUAGAUACCCGGGUAGUCCAUGCCAUAAACGAUGGAUACUGAGUAUGGGGGGUAUCGACCCCUUCUGUGCUGAAGCUAACGCGUUAAGUAUCCCGCCUGGGAACUACGGUCGCAAGACUAAAACUCAAAGGAAUUGACGGGGCCCCGCACAAGCAGCGGAGCGUGUGGUUUAAUUCGAUGCUAAGCGAAGAACCUUACCAGGGUUUGACAUACUAGUAGUACU
rnacentral:rRNA from 1 species